CGGUGAUACUACCUAGUCUAUGAUACCUUUUAUGUGAACUUUUACUCUGAGUGAAAACGCUCAGAUGCUAAUCUUAGACAAAAAGACCCUAUGAAGCUUACAGCCCCCUCCCACACAUAAAUUCUUUGCUGUUUCUUUGGGGAAAAGCACAAUAAGAAUAUUUCAACCUGUAGGAUCCUUAUAAGAACUACGAAAAAGCUCCUCUAGGGAUAACAGCGCCAUACCACUUUAA
rnacentral:rRNA from 1 species